UCCGGUUGAUCCUGCCGGAGGCCACUGCUAUCGGAGUCGAUUAAGCCAUGCGAGUCGAGAGGUGUAAGACCUCGGCAUACUGCUCAGUAACACGUGGACAAUCUAACCUACGGUGGGGGAUAACCCCGGGAAACUGGGGAUAAUACCCCAUAGACUAUGAAUGCUGGAAUGCUUUGUAGUUCAAAGGUUUACCGCCGUAGGAUGGGUCUGCGGCCGAUUAGGUUGUUGUUGGGGUAACGGCCCAACAAGCCUGUAAUCGGUACGGGUUGUGGGAGCAAGAGCCCGGAGAUGGAUUCUGAGACACGAAUCCAGGCCCUACGGGGCGCAGCAGGCGCGAAAACUUUACAAUGCGGGAAACCGUGAUAGGGGAACUCCGAGUGCCCGUUAAAUCGGGCUGUCCACCAGUUUAAAUAACUGGUGAAGAAAGGGCCGGGCAAGACCGGUGCCAGCCGCCGCGGUAAUACCGGCGGCUCGAGUGGUGGCCACUAUUACUGGGCUUAAAGCGUUCGUAGCUGGUUUGUUAAGUCUCUGGGGAAAUCUUCCGGCUUAACCGGAAGGCGUCUCAGGCAUACUGGCAGACUAGGGACCGGGAGAGGUGAGGGGUACUCCAGCU
rnacentral:rRNA from 1 species